UAUCUUGCCUUUCAGCUCAUGGUCAAACUCACUUGAUCAAUUUUCAGUAUCCAGUCUGAUGAAUGGCUUGGAGUUCGGCUGCAAAUGAAUCUGAGCAUUUGUAAAUAGCAUCCCUUCUACUCGAAGUUGUCCCAGUGAGCCGACAACUAUGAGAAGGUAAGUUAUUAACUGUACAGGUAUGCAUUUCGAUUUUGUGGGCUCACGAUACACUGGUUUAUCUAUGUAUAAGUAAAGAUUUGCUCGCACUUCUAUAUCAUGAUUAGGCUGUCACAGUAUUUGAUUACCAAGUAUGUUUGGUUAUUUGCCAAUUUUGUAAUUUUUGUAUGGAAUGUAUCAUUUUGUUGACCAUUAUAUGACUUUCCAAUUAGAAAAUGGAUGUUUCAUGCAAAAAUUCUUUUGUUCCUCUAGAAAUUCUCUCAUGCCAUAUUCAUUUGUGAAAUAGGGCUAAUAGUUUGUGUGAUUUCAGGUUGGAAAGGGGAUCUUUAAGGAUUAGAAGGGCCGAGAUGCGAAAGCAUGGAGCCUUUCUUCUACUGGUUAGUGUUACAACUGAACCGGCCAGGGUCUUAUUCAAAGUAUCUUAGACCUUCUUGUAAAUAGACAGUCAAAGCUUUCUUAUUCAAAAUCUUUGCAUUUAAGUUUGAAAUAUUUAUGUUGCAUCAGCUCACACUAUCCAUUUUUGUAUAACAUUACCCUUUGAUUAAGUUAUUUGGGUUCAUUACUGAACUUUGUACUGCUUCUUGUUCAUUUGUAU
rnacentral:lncRNA from 1 species